UACGUAGGGGGCUAGCGUUGUCCGGAAUCAUUGGGCGUAAAGCGCGUGUAGGCGGUCCGGUAAGUCAGCUGUGAAAGUCAAGGGCUCAACCCUUGAAUGCCGGUUGAUACUGUCGGGCUAGAGUCCGGAAGAGGCGAGUGGAAUUCCUGGUGUAGCGGUGAAAUGCGCAGAUAUCAGGAGGAACACCGAUGGCGAAGGCAGCUCGCUGGGACGGUACUGACGCUGAGACGCGAAAGCGUGGGAGCAAACAGG
rnacentral:rRNA from 1 species